rnacentral:tRNA from 2 species
GCCGGGUUAGCUCAGGGGUAGAGCAACCGCCUUGUAAGCGGUAGGUCGUCGGUUCAAAUCCGACACCCGGCA